AUACGUAGGUGGCAAGCGUUAUCCGGAUUUACUGGGUGUAAAGGGCGUGUAGGCGGGACUGCAAGUCAGAUGUGAAAAUUAUGGGCUCAACCCAUAACCUGCAUUUGAAACUGUGGUUCUUGAGUGAUGGAGAGGCAGGCGGAAUUCCGUGUGUAGCGGUGAAAUGCGUAGAUAUACGGAGGAACACCAGUGGCGAAGGCGACUACCUGGACCGAUACUGACACUGAGGAGCGAAAGCGUGGGGAGC
rnacentral:rRNA from 1 species